rnacentral:lncRNA from 1 species
CAGCUGGUGGCGCCUGGGAGACGCUUGGUGCAGCCUGGGGCAUCCCUGAAACUCUCCUGCAUGACUUCAGGAUUCACUGUCAGAAGCUGUGCCAUAAGCUGGAUCCAAAGGCUCCAGGGAAGGGGCUAGAGUGGAUCUCAUACAUAGGUCCUGAACCAACCCACAUUGAAGUACCCA